rnacentral:rRNA from 1 species
AAUAGAUACCCUGGUAGUCCACGCCCUAAACGAUGUCAACUGGUUGUCGGGGAAGCAAUUCCUUGGUAACGAAGCUAACGCGUGAAGUUGACCGCCUGGGGAGUACGGCCGCAAGGUUAAAACUCAAAGGAAUUGACGGGGACCCGCACAAGCGGUGGAUUAUGUGGAUUAAUUCGAUGCAACGCGAAAAACCUUACCUACCCUUGACAUGUACGGAACUUGGCAGAGAUGCCUUGGUGCCCGAAAGGGAGCCGUAACACAGGUGCUGCAUGGCUGUCGUCAGCUCGUGUCGUGAGAUGUUGGGUUAGGUCCCGCAACGAGCGCAACCCUUGUCAUUAGUUGCUACAUUCAGUUGGGCACUCUAAUGAGACUGCCGGUGACAAACCGGAGGAAGGUGGGGAUGACGUCAAGUCCUCAUGGCCCUUAUGGGUAGGGCUUCACACGUAAUACAAUGGCCGGUACAGAGGGCUGCCAACCCGGCGAGGGGGAGCUAAUCCCAGAAAGCCGGUCGUAGUCCGGAUUGUUCUCUGCAACUCGAGAGCAUG